rnacentral:rRNA from 1 species
UACAGAGGGGGCAAGCGUUAUUCGGAAUUAUUGGGCGUAAAGGGCGCGUAGGCGGCUUGGCAAGUGGAAGGUGAAAUCCCUCGGCUUAACCGAGGAACUGCCCUCCAAACUGCUUAGCUUGAGACCGGGAGAGGUGAGUGGAAUUCCCAGUGUAGCGGUGAAAUGCGUAGAUAUUGGGAGGAACACCAGUGGCGAAGGCGGCUCACUGGACCGGUACUGACGCUGAUGCGCGAAAGCGUGGGGAGCAAACGGG